rnacentral:rRNA from 1 species
UACGAAGGGUGCAAGCGUUACUCGGAAUUACUGGGCGUAAAGCGUGCGUAGGUGGUCUGUUAAGUCUGAUGUGAAAGCCCUGGGCUCAACCUGGGAAUUGCAUUGGAUACUGGCAGGCUAGAGUGCGGUAGAGGGUAGUGGAAUUCCCGGUGUAGCAGUGAAAUGCGUAGAGAUCGGGAGGAACAUCAGUGGCGAAGGCGGCCAUCUGGGACAACACUGACGCUGAAGCACGAAAGCGUGGGGAGCAAACAGG